UACGUCGGUGGCAAGCGUUGUCCGGCUUUACUGGGCGUAAAGGAUGCGUCGGCGGACAUUUAAGUCAGAUGUGAAAUACCCGAGCUUAACUUGGGUGCUGCAUUUGAAACUGGGUGUCUAGAGUGCAGGAGAGGUAAGUGGAAUUCCUAGUGUAGCGGUGAAAUGCGUAGAGAUUAGGAAGAACACCAGUGGCGAAGGCGACUUACUGGACUGUAACUGACGCUGAGGCAUGAAAGCGUGGGGAGCAAACAGG
rnacentral:rRNA from 1 species